UACAGAGGUGGCAAGCGUUGUUCGGAAUUACUGGGCGUAAAGGGCGCGUAGGCGGUCUUCUAAGUCUUGUGUGAAAUCCCUCGGCUCAACUGAGGAACUGCACGGGAUACUGGAAGACUUGAGUUCGGGAGAGGGAAGCGGAAUUCCGGGUGUAGCGGUGAAAUGCGUAGAUAUUCGGAAGAACACCAGUGGCGAAGGCGACACACUGGCUCACUACUGACGCUGAGGCGCGAAAGCGUGGGGAGCAAACAGG
rnacentral:rRNA from 1 species